rfam:Sus scrofa isolate TJ Tabasco breed Duroc chromosome 13, whole genome shotgun sequence.
UCCCUGGCGGUCUAGUGGUUAGGAUUCAGCUCUUUCACUGCUGCAGCCCAGGUUCAAUUCCUGAUCUUGGAG